rnacentral:rRNA from 1 species
CGUUUGACGUUAGCAACAGAAGAAGCACCGGCUAACUCCGUGCCAGCAGCCGCGGUAAUACGGAGGGUGCGAGCGUUAAUCGGAAUUACUGGGCGUAAAGCGCAUGCAGGUGGUCUGUUAAGCAAGAUGUGAAAGCCCGGGGCUCAACCUCGGAACAGCAUUUUGAACUGGCAGACUAGAGUACUGUAGAGGGGGGUAGAAUUUCAGGUGUAGCGGUGAAAUGCGUAGAGAUCUGAAGGAAUACCGGUGGCGAAGGCGGCCCCCUGGACAGAUACUGACACUCAGAUGCGAAAGCGUGGGGAGCAAACAGGAUUAGAUACCCUGGUAGUCCACGCCGUAAACGAUGUCUACUUGGAGGUUGUGGCCUUGAGCCGUGGCUUUCGGAGCUAACGCGUUAAGUAGACCGCCUGGGGAGUACGGUCGCAAGAUUAAAACUCAAAUGAAUUGACGGGGGCCCGCACAAGCGGUGGAGCAUGUGGUUUAAUUCGAUGCAACGCGAAGAACCUUACCUACUCUUGACAUCCAGAGAA